UUGACCUCGGAUCAGGUAGGGAUACCCGCUGAACUUGAGCAUAUCAAUAAGCGGAGGA
rnacentral:rRNA from 2 species